AUUGAACGCUGGCGGCAGGCCUAACACAUGCAAGUCGAACGAGUGGCGGACGGGUGAAUAAUGUCUGGGAAACUGCCUGAUGGAGGGGGAUAACUACUGGAACCGGUAGCUAAUACCGCAUACCAUCGGAUGUGCCCUGGUGGGAUUAGAUAGUAGGUGGGGUAAAGGCUCACCUAGGCGACGAUGCCUAGCUGAUCCGAGAGGAUGACCAGCCACACUGGAACUGAGACACGGUCCAGACUCCUACGGGAGGCAGCAGUGGGGAAUAUUGCACAAUGGACGAAAGCCUGAUGCAGCCAUGCCGCGUGUAUGAAGAAGGCCUUCGGGUUGUAAAGUACUGUCAGCGGGGAGGCGUUACCCACAGAGGAAGCACCGGCUAACUCCGUGCCAGCAGCCGCGGUAAUAC
rnacentral:rRNA from 1 species